CCAAUCCAUCACUAGCUUCAACAUCCGCGCCACUCCCUUCUUCUCCCAAAUCCAGCGACGAUGUCAGGGCGCGGCAAGGGCGGCAAGGGGCUGGGAAAGGGCGGCGCCAAGCGCCAUCGGAAGGUCCUCCGCGACAACAUCCAGGGCAUCACCAAGCCGGCGAUCCGGAGGCUUGCCAGGAGGGGCGGCGUCAAGCGCAUCUCCGGCCUCAUCUACGAGGAGACCCGCGGCGUCCUCAAGAUCUUCCUCGAGAACGUCAUCCGCGACGCCGUCACCUACACCGAGCACGCUCGCCGCAAGACCGUCACCGCCAUGGACGUCGUCUACGCGCUCAAGCGCCAGGGCCGCACCCUCUACGGCUUCGGAGGCUAGAUCCGUUGCGUAGUGGAGCAACUUCCUCGUUUGCUCUCUGUGAUCUGUGCUGUGGUGGAUGAGAUUUACUGAUUUUGUGUGCGUCGUUGUGUUCUGCCUUGGGUUCAGUAGGCUGUGUAAUACCAUGUUCUGUUCAAUGCAAUCAGUUCGGUUCUGCUGCACUGACUUAAAUCGCUUAUCUGUACUGAAUCAACAUUCGUCUAUCUGGCACUCGUUGCAAUCUGUAGAAGAGAUGGAAUUCUUCCGCUCAGAUCCCCAAUCCCACCACAAGCUACAGCCCCCAAAGGAGUUCCUCUUCUUCCUAAUCACACACUCUCUCGGAGCGGAGCGGAGCGAAGCGGCGAUGUCAGGGCGCGGCAAGGGCGGCAAGGGGCUGGGCAAGGGCGGCGCCAAGCGCCACCGGAAGGUCCUCCGCGACAACAUCCAGGGCAUCACCAAGCCGGCGAUCCGGAGGCUGGCCAGGAGGGGAGGCGUCAAGCGCAUCUCCGGCCUCAUCUACGAGGAGACCCGCGGCGUCCUCAAGAUCUUCCUUGAGAACGUCAUCCGCGACGCCGUCACCUACACCGAGCACGCCCGCCGCAAGACCGUCACCGCCAUGGAUGUCGUCUACGCGCUCAAGCGCCAGGGCCGCACCCUCUACGGCUUCGGAGGCUAGAUUCUUGCCGUGCUGUGCUGUUGGCAGCUGUAUGCCCUGUGUGAUAUGCGCCCUGGUGGAUGGGAUUUACUUCUCUGUCGUUCGUUUGUGCUCAGUACGCUGUAGUAACAGUAUAUGCGUUCAAUGAAACUACUCCGAUCCUGAAUUCUGAUGAAACUCUUCAGUUAUGAAUCGUGUUACCGUUUUUCCAAGACUUUCUGAUUUGAUCUGUGCAGCUAGAAUUUUACACAGUUGCAAUCUGAUCAGUCUUUUCUUU